UCAUCGAAGGAUUCUCAAAAAUAGCAGGCUCGAUGACACAAUUAACGAGGAAAGGGGUCACUUUCAAAUGGACAAUUAUUGCAUGUUCCCACACUAAGUAUACUUUGUAUGCUUAUCCCUUAUUUAACAUUUUCAGGUAACUGAUGUUGGAGACGCGUGGAGGGUCGAAUGGGCGCGUCGAAUCUUUUUGAGUCAAAAGAAAUUAUCUUCUUUUGAACUUUGUACAGUAUCAGAUACUUUUGUUUUAGCAAUAGCUUUGGAUUUUCAAACUGUUUUUCAGGUCAUGUUUGACUUAGUACGC
rnacentral:lncRNA from 1 species